CCUACGGGAGGCAGCAGUGGGGAAUAUUGGACAAUGGGCGAAAGCCUGAUCCAGCCAUGCCGCGUGUGUGAAGAAGGUCUUCGGAUUGUAAAGCACUUUAAGUUGGGAGGAAGGGCAGUUACCUAAUACGUGACUGUUUGACGUACCGACAGAA
rnacentral:rRNA from 2 species